AUUAUUUUUUAAUGAAGAACCGAUAAUUAUUUUUUUUUAUAGAUUUGUAGGUAUACAUAUAUACAAUCACAUACUUCAUUGGUUCAUAGAAGUAUUUCUACCCUGUGAAGAUAUUAUUCUAAACAUUUGGUUUCCCAGCUUUCUUACGGUUCUAUUGGUUUUAAUGAAUCAUAAGAAACGAUUUGAAUUUGGUUCAUAUUUUAAGACGUUAUAUUCACUGACAAGUUAGAAAACUCUUUGUUUUGUGAUUUUAGAACAAACUUUUUUUUUAUUCAGUUUUAUCAAAAACACAAGCCUACGAUUGGUACAAAGCUUUUAAAGGCGGUCGAGAGAUCGACAUGCCUCGUUCUGGACGUUCUUCGACCUCUUCAACUGAUGAUAUUAAAAAAGUGAAGGAUAUGGUGCUCAAAAAUCGUCAGGCAACUGUUAGAGUGAUGGCAAGAGAACUCGACAUCUCUCGCGAGUACGUUUGAAUAAUUUUGGUGGAUAUAUUGGGAGCGUGAUUGUGACCGAAUUUAAAGCCAAAAACGCAAGGAAUACCAUCACCGUAUUCACCAAAUCUGGAUCCGCGCGCCAAUCGUUUCUUCUUUUUACAAUUUGUUACCAAUUCGAGAUACCAAGUGCAGCCAGUCCCUUCUCUACCUGAUCUCUCCAACGGAGAGUACUGCGUCGAAUUCUUUCAGAGCUGGAGUGUUUUCAUCCGUACGGACGACAUCAAACGGUUUUGAACCGUUUAAAAAAGAGUGGCUAGACAAAAAAACUCUUUGUCUGGGUACCACAUGAAUUAUUGGUGAAAAUUUUAAUGAACCGAUUUAAUAUCUGCGAUUCUUUGCUGAAACGAAAUGAAAUCGAACCAUUUCUGAAGCGAAUGGUAACAGGAGACGAAAAGUGGACUAAAUACGACCAUAACGUGUGAAAAAGAUCAAGCGUGGUGAAGCUCAACAAAUGGUCGCAAAGCCUUGAAAGGUUAUGCUGAGUGUUUGGUGGGAUUGGAAAGGAAUUAUCUACUAUGAGCUGUUCCAGCCUGAACGAGCGAUUGAUUCUACAUUUUACUGUCAACAACUGAUGAGAUUGAAGCAAGCAAUCGGAAAAAAUGUGUAG